rnacentral:rRNA from 1 species
AGUACGUGAAACUGCUUAGAGGUUAAACCCGAUGAACCUGAAUAUCCAUUAUGGAAAAUUCAUCAUUAAUAAUAUAGUAUAAAUAAUAUUGUAUAAAUAGUGUGCAAUUUUUCCAUAUAAGGACAUUGUAAUCUGUUAAUGUAAUAAAUAUUUAUCAUAAGAUUGAUUACACUUAGUUUAUUCAAAUUAUUUAUUUUCGGAUAUUUAACAUAGAAUAAAUGUUUUGGAUUUGAUAAAUCAUUGACAGAUAUAAUUAUAUAAUGUGCUUAAAUUCUUUUGAAUUUUAUCAAUGGUAGGAAAUAUUUUUUCUUAUUUAAUUGUUAUGCAUUAUUAUGAUUAACAAUGCGAGAGAUUCAGGAUACCUUCGGGACCCGUCUUGAAACACGGACCAAGGAGUCUAACAUAUGUGCAAGUCAUUGGGUAUUUUUAAUAAAACCCAAUGGCGUAAUUAACUUAACUGAUUUAAUGGGAUUAGUUUAUAUUUUGUUAUGGAAUAUUAAUUCAAUCCCGGGGCGUUCUAUAUAGUUAUGUAUAAUAGUAUUUAUAUUAUUUAUGCCUCUAACUUGAGC